GCACCCGUAGCUCAGCUGGAUAGAGCGCUGCCCUCCGAAGGCAGAGGCCGCAGAUUCGAAUUCUGCCGGGUGCGCCA
rnacentral:tRNA from 1 species